CAGGAGAUGAUGUAAAUUACCCAUUAUCAUACAUAGAGGAUGUUCUACAGCAACCUCAGAAAAGAUCUUGUGUCAGACGUGGAGGCAAUUGUGACCAUCGCCCAAACGAAUGCUGUUUCAAUUCAAGUUGUCGCUGUAACUUGUGGUUAGUAUUCAAU